GAGUUUGAUCAUGGCUCAGAUUGAACGCUGGCGGCAGGCCUAACACAUGCAAGUCGAGCGGAUGACGGGAGCUUGCUCCUUGAUUCAGCGGCGGACGGGUGAGUAAUGCCUAGGAAUCUGCCUGGUAGUGGGGGACAACGUUUCGAAAGGAACGCUAAUACCGCAUACGUCCUACGGGAGAAAGCAGGGGACCUUCGGGCCUUGCGCUAUCAGAUGAGCCUAGGUCGGAUUAGCUAGUUGGUGGGGUAAUGGCUCACCAAGGCGACGAUCCGUAACUGGUCUGAGAGGAUGAUCAGUCACACUGGAACUGAGACACGGUCCAGACUCUACGGGAGGCAGCAGUGGGGAAUAUUGGACAAUGGGCGAAAGCCUGAUCCAGCCAUGCCGCGUGUGUGAAGAAGGUCUUCGGAUUGUAAAGCACUUAAGUUGGAGGAAGGGCAGUAAGUUAAUACCUUGCUGUUUUGACGUUUACCGACUAGAAUAAGCACCGGCUAACGU
rnacentral:rRNA from 1 species